rnacentral:rRNA from 1 species
UACGUAAGGACCGAGCGUUGUCCGGAAUCAUUGGGCGUAAAGGGUACGUAGGCGGUUAAGUAAGUUAGAAGUGAAAUGCAAUAGCUCAACUAUAGUAAGCUUUUAAAACUGCUAGACUUGAGGUAUGGAGGGGAAAGUGGAAUUCCUAGUGUAGCGGUGAAAUGCGCAGAUAUUAGGAGGAAUACCGGUGGCGAAGGCGACUUUCUGGCCAUCAACUGACGCUGAGGUACGAAAGCGUGGGUAGCAAACAGG